rnacentral:rRNA from 1 species
CAAUAGCGUAUAUUAAUGUUGUUGCAGUUAAAAAGCUCGUAGUUGGAUUUCUGGUGGGAGCGGCCGGUCCGCCCCUCACGGGGUGUGCACUGCGUCGUCUCUGGCCAUCCUCGCGGAGAGCGGCUCGCGCAUUAAGUUGUGCGGGUCGGGAUCCGCGUCGUUUACUGUGAAAAAUUAGAGUGUUUAAAGCAGGCGUUUGCUGUGAAUACAUUAGCAUGGAAUAAUAAGAUAGGGCUUUGGUGCUAUUUUGUUGGUUUGCACACCGAGGCAAUGAUUAAUAGGGACAGUUGGGGGUAUUCGUAUUUAGAUGUCAGAGGUGAAAUUCUUGGAUUUUCGAAAGACGAACUACUGCGAAAGCAUUUACCAAGGAUGUUUUCAUUAAUCAAGAACGAAAGUUAGGGGAUCGAAGACGAUCAGAUACCAU